AACGAAGGGGGCUAGCGUUGUUCGGAUUCACUGGGCGUAAAGCGCACGCAGGCGGAUAGAUAAGUCGGGGGUGAAAGCCCGGGGCUCAACCUCGGAAUUGCCUUCGAUACUGUCGGUCUUGCGUCCGGGAGAGGUGAGUGGAAUUCCUAGUGUAGAGGUGAAAUUCGUAGAUAUUAGGAAGAACACCAGUGGCGAAGGCGGCUCACUGGCCCGGUACUGACGCUCAGGUGCGAAAGCGUGGGGAGCAAACAGG
rnacentral:rRNA from 1 species